GUCAUAUGGCGUUGUGAUGCAUAUCCUGCGAAUAUUCAGAGAAGAACCAGAGCAAAUGCUCAAAGUAUCAGUACAAGCACUGGUGCAAAUGCGCAAAGAAGUACUGGUGGUGUUUAACAUAAUUUUUAAUGUUGUUCUAAAGUAGCAUAUGCUCUCCACAAUGGCUUUGGUUGAAGUUGGGUUUAAAUCUUGUGCAGAUGCUUUGAAUUGGUAAAUAGUUUUUGUACAUUGCUUAAGUUUUAUUG
rnacentral:misc_RNA from 1 species